GCCCAGCUAACUUAGUCGGUAAAACACGAGACUCUUAAUCUCGGAAAAGUGGGUUUGAGCCCCACGUUGGGCG